UAUGGGGUACAAGAAAAGCUGGACUCUAUCAGCUCACGCAAUAGAUCCAAUAUCGGGGAGUACUGUCCUGAUGGUUCUACCUGUCCAGUUAGUAAAAAGUGCUGCAUGACGGAAAGUGGAUGGACUUGUUGUACACCAACCCCACCUCCAAUAUACAUUCCAGCUAAUCCUGUGAAACCCUCUUUGUCUGUCGUAACCUGUAAUAAAGACAGAAGCUGCCUUAGUGGCCAAACAUGCUGCAAACACCCUAAAGGCACCUAUUCAUGCUGCCCAUUUCCUGAGGGAGAAUGCUGUCAUGAUGGAUUCAGCUGCUGUAAUCGAGCUUCUGGAUGGUCCUGUGGUCCCAGUGGCACAUGCAUCUGGAGCGGAAUGGUGAUUCCGGAAAAACCCCAACUUAAGGAGUGAUGGACUGACCAGUGAUGGACAGUCCUUGUACAACUCUGCUGCUCUGACUGAGUCCUGCUGCUCUUGGACCUUCCUGAUGAUCUAUAAUGAUUUGCGAUGGCUUCCGUCUAUAUACACACACAAAUAAUCUCCUGGGUUAUUUCAUAGCCGUUAUGUUCCUGUGACUUCAUUUAGUCAGCUGUGAGCAGCGAUGGAGUAACUCUGCUGAAAAUGUCAAACGCAUGUUGCUCCAAUAAAUUCGCAUU